GUGCCAGCCAGCUGCGGUUAGACAAAAAGGACAAUUAGAUAAGUUCGGGCAACAGUUAUAGUUAGUUUGUAAAAUGAUAUUUUCAUUAAGAGUUAAAAGUGAAAUUUUAAACUUUUUAUUGUUAAAAUUUUAAUUACUAAUAAUUAGAGGCUGUAAAGGCUAAGAUUUAGACUAGGAUUAGAUACCCUAUUAUUCUUCUUUUAAAUUUAAUUGCUUGAGUAGUAAUCAGUUAUGAACUCGAAACUUAAAGGAUUUGGCGGUAUCUUAGUCUAGUUAGAGGAACCUGCUCCGUAAACGAUAAGCCACGAAUUAUCUUACUUUUACUUGUGUUCAGUAUGUAUACCUCCAUUAUUAAAUAAUAUUUAUAAGUAAAUAUUGUAAUAAAAUCGAUUUAGUAUAUUAGGUCAAGGUGCAGCUAAUGUAAAAGGUGUGGGUGGGUUACAAUGUAUUUAAUACUUGCGUAUAAAAGUUAUAAAAUCUUUUUGAAGUUGGAUUUAAUUGUAUUCUUAUUUUAAUAAGUUAAGAUGAUAUAAGCUCUAGGAUAUGUACACAUCGCCCGUCGCUCUCGUUAAUUCAUAAAGUGAGAUAAGUCGUAACAAAGUAGG
rnacentral:rRNA from 1 species